UCCCGGGUGAUCCCGCCUCAGGUCCUCCCGUCCCAGGUGAUCCCGCCUCAGGUUCUCCCCGGUGAUUCCGCCUCAGGCCCCCGCUCCCCGGGUGAUCCCGCCUCAGGUCCUCCCUUCCCGGGUGAUCCCGCCUCAGGCCCCCGCUCCCCGGGUGGUCCCGCCUCAGGCCCCCGCUCCGCGGGUGAUUCCACCUCAGGUCCUCCCUUCCCGGGUGAUUCCGCCUCAGGCUCCUGCUCUCGGGGUGAUUCUGCCUCAGGCCCCCGCGCCCCGGGUGGUCCCGCCUCAGGCCCCCGCGCCCCGGGUGAUCCCGCCUCAGGCCCCCGCNNNNNNNNNNNNNNNNNNNNNGGUGCCCAGCAAGCAGCUCUGCCCGAUCAGGCCCGAGACCCCGGCCUCUCUCCUGAGCUCUCCCCAGGCCGCCAUUGGCCCUGCUCAGCUCCUGUCUAUAGCCUGACUCUGCAGGUGCCUGCGCUGCUCCCACCCUGGCGGGAUCUGUACCCCUGUCUAGCAAGAUCUGGGGGUGAGGUGUGCAGACUUGGGUGGUCACAUCCCUUGGCCCCACUGGUCCCCACGGGAAGUGCUGGCCACUGACAAGCUUGUUCUCUCCACCAGGAAUGGUGGCAAGACCAUCGUGCUCAGCAACGGUCAGCGGGAGAUCCACACAGCCCAGUUCAAGAGGAGGGAGUACCCCGAUGGCUCCACCAAGACCGUGUACCAUGACGGCCACCAGGAGACCAAGGACGCCUCCGGGAGGGUCAAGGUUAGGGAUCAGGCUGGAAACAUCAUCCUGGACAGGAAGCAGCUUCUCCUUCAAAACUAGCCUUACCCGUGACCUUCCAAUAUCACCUUGACCUUCCAACAUCACCUUGACCUUCCAACCUUGCCUGUGAACUUCCAACAUUGCUUGUGACCUUCCAAUUUAUGUGUAACCUUCCAAGUACAUUAUUUACUAAAAAAAAGAAACAACUAAUAUUUGUGGCCCUAAAUGGUGAAAAAUCAUGUAAAACUUGAGGACUACCCAAGUCAUCCAGAAAUUAUAAAGGAAGAGACAGCCUGAUCCCGGGCUCCUGGUUCGGAAAUGUGGCUGCAUCAACACUAGUCCAGCCAGAGAACAGGAAGCUCGCAGACAAUGACUCCAGGGCCCCGGCCAGACCCCUUCCUCUCUGCCCACCACAAGAACCAGCUCUACAUGUGACGGGCAGCCUUCCCUGGGCCCUGGGCGCCUCUGCCUCUGCCUGCAGCUGGCCCCUGGUCCUCUCCUCCUGAAUUACACCAGCUUAGCCUGACCAUCCCGAACAUUUUCCUCAGGGCACCAGUUCACGCCACUGCAGGAGCGCCCACGGGGAGCCUGACCCAGGGUCUGAGUGACCUGGCCUCAUGCCCGCCGCUGCGUGGGUGGUAAGCCACCUCCUGAAACUCUGCAUUUUAAAAUCUCACAGGCAAGGCAAUGAGAGUUGCCCCUUUUAUUGUUUUGUAGGCAGCCUAGAAAAUAAGACAGAAACUGGCACCUAACUGACUUUCACACUGAAAUAGAGAGCCCCAAAAUACAAGAAAGGAAUAAUUUCCCGAAAAUCUUCUGAUGAGAUGCUUGUAUGUGCCCAUGUCUUCAUGCGACAGAAGUGAAGUAUCAUGUUAGUGCCUGGGAUCAUUUCAGUCCUAAAGUCUAUGGUGCACACCCCACAGUAGCCUCAGUGGUUGGGUGAGGCUU
ensembl:lncRNA